rnacentral:tRNA from 1 species
CAAAAUGUAGCUUAACUCAAAGCCAUUCGCUUACACCGAAUCAAUGCCCGUUAAACUCGAGCCAUUUUGA